rnacentral:piRNA from 1 species
UGUGACUCAGUUUUAUUGCAAC